GACGAACGCUGGCGGCGUGCUUAACACAUGCAAGUCGAGCGGUAAGGCCCUUUCGGGGGUACACGAGCGGCGAACGGGUGAGUAACACGUGGGUGACCUGCCCUCAGCUCUGGGAUAAGCCUGGGAAACCGGGUCUAAUACCGGAUAUGACUCCAUGACGCAUGUUGUGGGGUGGAAAGCCUUGUGCGGCUGAGGAUGGGCCCGCGGCCUAUCAGCUUGUUGGUGGGGNGAUGGCCUACCAAGGCGACGACGGGUAGCCGGCCUGAGAGGGCGACCGGGCCACACUGGGACUGAGACACGGCCCAGACUCCUACGGGAGGCAGCAGUGGGGAAUCUUGCGCAAUGGGCGAAAGCCUGACGCAGCGACGCCGCGUGAGGGAUGACGGCCUGGUGUAC
rnacentral:rRNA from 1 species